ensembl:lncRNA PCGF3-AS1 PCGF3 antisense RNA 1
AUUGCAAGCCUCUGCAGAGGCGCUGGAGCUGGGUCAGUCCGCCGCUCACCCCGCGGCCGCACCUUCCCGCCUUCUCAGUUGUUCAAAGAGAUGGCUUUGAAUUCCAGCUUACAUGGCGUCUUCAACAAAAAGUAAUUGUUUAGAGAAGUGACAAGAUGAAGGAGGACUCUGAGUCCUAGUCUCCCUCCUCGAGUCCCUGUGUGAGCAGAGGUAAACAAUGAAAACUCACCAACCAGGAGAAAUUCACCUAGGACUGGCGCAGAAGGUAUACACCAUGAGCCUGGAAAUGAUUUAAAAAACAACACAGGCUGGGCGCGGUGGCUCACACCUAUAAUCCCAGCACUUUGGGAGGCAGAGGCGGGCGGAUCACUUGAGGUUUGCGAGUUGGAAACCAGUCUGACCAACGUGGAGAAACCCCGUCUUUACUAAAAAUACAAAAUUAGCCAGGUGUGGUGGCGCAUGUCUGUAAUCCCAGCUACUGGGGAAGCUGAGGCAGGAGAAUCCCUUGAACCUGAGAGAUGGAGGUUGAUGUGAGCUGAGAUCACACAAU